rnacentral:rRNA from 1 species
AGUGAACGCUGGCGGUAGGCCUAAUACAUGCAAGUCGAACGGCAGCACAGUAAGAGCUUGCUCUUACGGGUGGCGAGUGGCGGACGGGUGAGGAAUAUAUCGGAAUCUACUUUUUCGUGGGGGAUAACGUAGGGAAACUUACGCUAAUACCGCAUACGACCUACGGGUGAAAGCAGGGGAUCUUCGGACCUUGCGCGAUUGAAUGAGCCGAUGUCGGAUUAGCUAGUUGGCGGGGUAAAGGCCCACCAAGGCGACGAUCCGUAGCUGGUCUGAGAGGAUGAUCAGCCACACUGGAACUGAGACACGGUCCAGACUCCUACGGGAGGCAGCAGUGGGGAAUAUUGGACAAUGGGCGCAAGCCUGAUCCAGCCAUACCGCGUGGGUGAAGAAGGCCUUCGGGUUGUAAAGCCCUUUUGUUGGGAAAGAAAAGCAGCAGGUUAAUACCCCGCUGUUCUGACGGUACCCAAAGAAUAAGCACCGGCUAACUUCGUG